rnacentral:tRNA from 2 species
GCGGAGGUGGCGGAACGGAAGACGCGCUGGACUCAGGAUCCAGUGGACUUUUCGUCCGUGCGGGUUCAAAUCCCGCCCUCCGCACCA